UACGGGGGGGGGCAAGCGUUGUUCGGAAUUACUGGGCGUAAAGGGCUCGUAGGUGGCCAACUAAGUCAGACGUGAAAUCCCUCGGCUUAACCGGGGGAACUGCGUCUGAUACUGGAUGGCUUGAGUUUUGGGGAGAGGGACGCGGAAUUCCAGGUGUAGCGGUGAAAUGCGUAGAUAUCUGGAGGAACACCGGUGGCGAAGGCGCGU
rnacentral:rRNA from 1 species